rnacentral:ncRNA from 2 species
GAGGCCGAUGCGGGAGAGCUGCGGGGGAGAACCCGCCCGCGGCACCGAAGGAGCAAUCCUCCCCGACAAUCUCUCAGGUACGCGUACCGCAUCGGACUG